rnacentral:misc_RNA from 1 species
CCGAGCUAGGACGCGGCACGCGCGGCAACAGAGAGCUCCAGGCGGUGCCGAGCAGGGGGGAAAUCGCCAUGGACGAGCAGGCAACAGAGAGAAGCAGGGGCGCGCGUGGGAAAUCGGCUGGGCGUUGCAGGGAGGAGAUCCGAGCAGGGACGCCAGAAAGAAGAGGCUUGGGGGCGCCGGCGAGCUGGAGGAGCUCGGGAGGAGGAGCGCUCGGCCACAGGGGAGCUUCGCGCCGGAGAUGCAGACCGAGCUUGAGGGAGCGACGCCUGGGGAAGAGAAGAGAGAGCGACGCGGCAGGAUUUUCUUCUCGAGCUGAUCGGUGGCUUGGACAUGCGCAAACAGAUAUAGAUGCUGAAAAAAAAUCUGCGCAGGUCCGGCGGGAUCUUCUUCCCAGAGUUGAGCGGCGCAUGGAUAAUCUCCAUGGAGAAGAGAAGAUCAGGGAGAAAAGAGAGAGAGAGCGGCGGGAAAGAAGAUAGGAACGAUGACGCGUAACGGAUGAG